UACGUAGGGGGCGAGCGUUGUCCGGAAUUAUUGGGCGUAAAGCGCGCGCAGGCGGUUCUUUAAGUCAGGUGUAUAAGCCCGGGGCUCAACUCCGGGACGCACCUGAAACUGGGGGACUGGAGUGCAGGAGAGGAGAGCGGAAUUCCACGUGUAGCGGUGAAAUGCGUAGAGAUGUGGAGGAACACCAGUGGCGAAGGCGGCUCUCUGGCCUGUAACUGACGCUGAGGCGCGAAAGCGUGGGGAGCAAACAGG
rnacentral:rRNA from 1 species